rnacentral:rRNA from 1 species
GGUUAAGCGACUAAGCGUACACGGUGGAUGCCCUGGCAGUCAGAGGCGAUGAAGGACGUGCUAAUCUGCGAAAAGCGCCGGCGAGGUGAUAUGAACCUUUGACCCGGCGAUGUCCGAAUGGGGAAACCCAGUGCAAUCCGUUGCACUAUCGUUAACUGAAUACAUAGGUUAACGAGGCGAACCGGGGGAACUGAAACAUCUAAGUACCCCGAGGAAAAGAAAUCAACCGAGAUUCCCCCAGUAGCGGCGAGCGAACGGGGAGCAGCCCGGAGUCUGAAUCAGCUUGUGUGUUAGUGGAA